rnacentral:lncRNA from 1 species
AAAAAAGUUAACAGCUUAAGUCAUUUGUGGAUUAAUGCUUAUUGCUGACGCGAACCGUUUCAAACGAUUCAGUUCGAUUUGGUGAACUGGUUCAAGAAGAUCCGGUUACAUCGAGUGAUUCGUUCGCGAACCGGAUGUCCUGUGAACGCGCUCAUAACAGACCCGGGACGGAGAAGUCAAUGCUGAAUAAAGUACGUAGUUUUUGUAUAUUUUUGGUACCAAAACUUUAAUUUUCGUAUGCUUCUAAAAAAUUAACUAACGGACCCGUCCUGCUUUCUGGGCGUGGACAGUAUACCGUACAUACAUUCUCAAUGGAGGGACAGAAAGCUCUCGGACUAAAUCUAAAAUAUCUUAAACUGUGUUCCGAAGAUGAACGGAGGUCUUACGGGUUUGUAACGACAUGAGGGUGAGUCAUUAAUGACAUAAUUUUCAUUUUUGGGUGAACUAUCCCUUUAAGUCCAUUCCUGAUGUAACUCUACAUUUAGGUGUCACUGUAAGCCAGACACAUUAAACACAAAGAGCUGCAGAAAAAAUAAGGUGGAAUAAGAAUCCUGAAAUCCUUCACGACUCCUCAGAGCUUCCUCAACAAAAACUGAAAUAAGAAAACUAAUGACAGCACACAAAUAAAACAGAAUCAAUAUUAUGAAAUAUGACAUAUAAUAAUUAAUUGUAGUUUUAUAACUAAUUUACAAAGUAUUUUUCUCUGAAAGAGCUGUUUGAGUCACUUCAUAUUUUUUUAUUUCUUCACAGAUUUACCAACAUCUACACUGACUGUGACUCCAGACAGUCCUGUAUUCACUGGAGAGAGAGUGAUUCUGAAGUGUGUGAUUGAGUCUUACAGUAACUGGAGAUAUGAGUGGUAUAAAGGCAGUGUAAUGUUACAGACGUCUGAGCGUUACACUGUAAACAGAGAUACACUCACUAUCACAGCAGUAACUACAUCUGAUGCGGGUCAGUUCUGGUGUAGAGGACAGAGAGAUGAAAGACCAAAAUCAUCACAAUCAAGCUCUGCUGUUCCUGUCACUGUGACGGAUUUACCCACCUCUACACUAACUGUGACACCAGACAGUCCUCUAUUCACUGGAGAGACAGUCAAUCUAACAUGUGUAAUAAACUCAAAUCACAGUGACUGGAGAUAUGAGUGGUAUAAAGGAGGAAACAACAGUGUAAUGUUACAGACGUCUGAGCGUUACACCAUAGACAGAGACACUCUCACUAUCAGAGGAGUGAAUGAGUCUGAUCAGGGUCAGUUCUGGUGUAGAGGACAGAGAGAUGGAAGACCAAACUCAUCACAGGAGAGUGAACGAAUAAAUCUGUCUGUUAAUGUCUCCGCAGCUUCAUCUUCUCUUCUGCUGGUCACUGGUGUGGUUGUGGGAUUGAGUGUUUGUCUGUUGUUCUUCCUCUCACUGCUGCUGAUGUGGAGAUACAAGAAGAACAAAGAUCAGCAGCGUAACAUUAACCAGACAUCAGUCCCAAAUCAAUCUGCACAAUCUCAACCGGAAAACUUUCCUCUACAGUCUGGUCAGACUCAAUAACUACUUAUUUAAAGGGAUAGUACACAUAAAAAAAUUAAAUAUAAAUUAAUGUCUUUCCAUAUCUGUAUGACUUUCUGUCAUCUGUGGAACACACACAAAGAAAGAUAUUUUCAUUAUUUUGAACUAUCACUUUAAGCUUCAUAUAAUCAUUUUUUUGUGGCACUGGUAUGGAAGUCCAGGUUUCUUUGACAGUGGCCUUCAGCUCAUCUCAAUUUUUGGUCUCUUGUUUCUCAUUUUCCUCUUGACAAUACCUCAUAGAUUCUCUCUGGGGUUCAGGUCUGGUGAAUUUGCUGGCCAGUCAAGCACACCAACACCAUGGUCAUUUAACCAACUUUUGGUGCUUUUGGCAGUGUGGGCAGGUGCCAAAUCCUGCUGGAAAAUGAAAUCAGCAUCUUCUAAAAAGCUGGUCAGCAGAAGGAAGCAUGAAGUGCUCCACAAAUCUUGGUAAAUGGGUGACAGUGACUUUGGUUUCAAAAAACACAAUGGACCUACACCAGCAGAUGACAUUGCACCCCAAAUCAUCACAGACUGUGAAACUUAACACUGGACUUCAAUCAACUUGGGCUAUGACCUUCUCCACCCUUCCUCCAGACUCUAGGACCUUGGUUUCCAAAUGAAAUACAAAACAGUAUCUAUGUACACCUUCUACAGAGGCACCAUCGAGAGCAUUCUGACGAGCUGCAUCACUGUGUGGUAUGGAGCCUGCUACAUGUCCUGCCGGAAGACUCUGCAAUGCAUAGAGAGAGCAGCUGAGAAGAUAAUUGGUGUCUCUCUCCCCUCCCUCCAGGAAAUUUACGGAAUCCGUCUCACUCGCAAAGCCCUCUGCAUCGCAGGUGACCCCACACACCCGUCACACAGCUUCUUCAGUCUGCUGCCAUCAGGGAGGAGACUGCGGAGUCUCCAGGCCAGGACCAGCAGACUGAAGGAGAGCUUCAUUCAUCAGGCUGUCAGGAAGCUGAACUCGCUCCCGAACUUGCCCCCCGUCCCUCUUCUGCCCCAGGCACCACUGAACUAUGAACCCCCCCCAGAUCCCACAUCCCAAGGUCCUUC